ensembl:lncRNA
GGGAAAGGGGGAGGCGCGGGGAGCUCGCUGCCUGCCUGCCUGCUCGCUCGAGCCGGGGACGAGACGCCCCCCACCCCUCCAGCUCGGCCUCUCCAUCCAAGUUCCCGGUCCCCGGCCGCCCGGAUCCGGGGAUGGCAACCGCCGCCCGCCCGCCUCUGCGCCCUUUUUUCCAGCCGCCGCGCAGAAAUUUAGGUCAAGGACGUCGGGAUCAAACCCAAACCCUGGCGCUCCUUGGGCGCUCCCGGAGACCCCCAGAACGGGGGGCGGGGGGCUUUCAGGAUGGUGCGGACACCCUCCGCACAAACCCCAGCCACAAGUUUUAUUUUCCUUUCGCGCUGGAAGUUCUGUCUGGCUCUCGAUCCACACCGGCACGUCUUGCGCGGCUCCCCGCCCUUCCCCGGCAGAGGUAAGUUUCCUAUAAACAGCAUACAAUUGGACCUUGUUCCUUUAUUUAUUGGGUUGACUGGUAAGUAUAGCUCAUUUACAUUUAAUGUAAUUACUGAUAUUUUUAAUGAACCUUGGAGGCACAAAACUGUAUUAGUUACAAUCUCUGGCAUAAAUAUACUCUCAUCAUUAGGUAUAUCCAUGGCCUUAUUUCAUUUUUUCCUAUGAUGAACACUUAUAAACCUGCUAUUCAACCAGAGACUAAAACAGCAACGGUGACUGACAACUCCUUGUGCGUUCCUCCCCCGUUUGCUCACCUAAAGAAACUGCCAGUCUCAAUCUUGUAUGUACUCUUCUUUUUUGCUCUUUAAAAAGUUUUACCAAAUUUUUAUCAUACACUUGGUUUAAAAUUUAUGAGAAUGUUCUAAGGGCUAUCUUUUUUAGUCCACAUGGUUUUAGUAAGAUUCAACUAGAUUGUUGCAUCUGGUUGUAGUUCGGUACUUUUCUGAUUGUGCUACCGAUUACUUUGUUCACUUUCUUGUCAUAGAUAGGCCUUUGAGUUGUUCCAGUUUUUUGCUUUUACAAGCAGUGGUUGAUAAACCGUCUUGUCUUCUAGUGUAUGUGGGCAAGAAUUUCUCUUUGGAGUCACUACUGGGUCAUGAGGUAUCUGAUGCAAAAUAAUGCCAAAUUGUUUUCCAGAGCUGCUCUUCUAGUUUGUCCUCCC